rnacentral:rRNA from 1 species
AGAGUUUGAUCAUGGCUCAGAACGAACGCUGGCGGCAGGCCUCAAACAUGCAAGUCUAGGGGGUGUAGCAAUACAUCACCGGCGGACGGGUGCGUAACGCGUGGGAAUAUACCUAUUGGUUCGGAACAACUGAGGGAAACUUCAGCUAAUACCGGAUAAGCCCUUACGGGGAAAGAUUUCUCGCCAAUAGAUUAGCCCGCGUCCGAUUAGCUAGUUGGUGGGGUAAAAGCCUACCAAGGCAACGAUCGGUAGCUGUUCUGAGAGGAAGAUCAGCCACACUGGGACUGAGACACGGCCCAGACUCCUACGGGAGGCAGCAGUUGGGAAUCUUGGACAAUGGGGGAAACCCUGAUCCAGCCAUGCCGCGUGAGUGAUGAAGGCCUUCGGGUUGUAAAACUCUUUCGACGGGGACGAUAAUGACGGUACCCGUAGAAGAAGCUCCGGCUAACUUCGUGCCAGCAGCCGCGGUAAUACGAAGGGGGCUAGCGUUGUUCGGAAUUACUGGGCGUAAAGCGCGCGCAGGCGGUCUUCCAAGUCAGUGGUGAAAGCCCGGAGCUCAACUCCGGAAUUGCCAUUGAAACUGUGAGACUGGAGUACGAGAGAGGUGAGUGGAAUUCCCAGUGUAGAGGUGAAAUUCGUAGAUAUUGGGAAGAACACCGGUGGCGAAGGCGGCUCACUGGCUCGUAACUGACGCUCAGGCGCGACAGCGUGGGGAUCAAACAGGAUUAGAUACCCUGGUAGUCCACGCCGUAAACGAUGAUUGCUAGCCGUUGGGCAGCUUGCUGUUCAGUGGCGCAGCUAACGCAUUAAGCAAUCCGCCUGGGGAGUACGGCCGCAAGGUUGAAACUCAAAGGAAUUGACGGGGGCCCGCACAAGCGGUGGAGCAUGUGGUUUAAUUCGACGCAACGCGCAGAACCUUACCAGGGUUUGACAUCCUGAGACCGCCUCUUAAUAGGGGUUUUCCCGCAAGGGACUCAGAGACAGGUGCUGCAUGGCUGUCGUCAGC